rnacentral:tRNA from 1 species
GGGGCCGUCGAUUAGCCUGGUUUAAGUCCCUUGACUGUCGAUCAAGUGAUCGCGAGUUCGAAUCUCGUCGGCCCCGCCA